GACGAACGCUGGCGGCGUGCCUAAUACAUGCGAGUAGAACGCUGAAGAGAGGAGCUUGCUCUUCUUGGAUGAGUUGCGAACGGGUGAGUAACGCGUAGGUAACCUGCCUUGUAGCGGGGGAUAACUAUUGGAAACGAUAGCUAAUACCGCAUAACAAUGGAUGACACAUGUCAUUUAUUUGAAAGGGGCAAUUGCUCCACUACAAGAUGGACCCGCGUUGUAUUAGCUAGUAGGUGAGGUAACGGCUCACCUAGGCGACGAUACAUAGCCGACCUGAGAGGGUGAUCGGCCACACUGGGACUGAGACACGGCCCAGACUCCUACGGGAGGCAGCAGUAGGGAAUCUUCGGCAAUGGGGGCAACCCUGACCGAGCAACGCCGCGUGAGUGAAGAAGGUUUUCGGAUCGUAAAGCUCUGUUGUAAGUCAAGAACGAGUGUGAGAGUGGAAAGUUCACACUGUGACGGUAACUUACCAGAAAGGGACGGCUAACUACGUGCCAGCAGCCGCGGUAAUACGUAGGUCCCGAGCGUUAUCCGGAUUUAUUGGGCGUAAAGCGAGCGCAGGCGGUUAGAUAAGUCUGAAGUUAAAGGCUGUGGCUUAACCAUAGUACGCUUUGGAAACUGUUUAACUUGAGUGCAGAAGGGGAGAGUGGAAUUCCAUGUGUAGCGGUGAAAUGCGUAGAUAUAUGGAGGAACACCGGUGGCGAAAGCGGCUCUCUGGUCUGUAACUGACGCUGAGGCUCGAAAGCGUGGGGAGCAAACAGG
rnacentral:rRNA from 1 species